GAUGAACGCUGGCGGCGUGCCUAAUACAUGCAAGUCGAGCGAACAGACGAGGAGCUUGCUCCUCUGACGUUAGCGGCGGACGGGUGAGUAACACGUGGAUAACCUACCUAUAAUACUGGUAUAACUUCGGGAAUCCGGAGCUAAUCCCGGAUAAUAUAUUGAACCGCAUGGUUCAAUAGUGAAAGACGGUUUUGCUGUCUCUUAUAGAUGGAUCCGCGCCGCAUUAGCUAGUUGGUAAGGUAACGGCUUACCACGGCAACGAUGCGUAGCCGACCUGAGAGGGUGGUCGGCCACACUGGAACUGAGACACGGUCCAGACUACUGAGGGAGGCAGCAGUAGGGAAUCUGCCGCAGUGGGCGGAAGCCUGACGGAGCAGCGCCGCGUGAGUGAUGAAGGUCUUCGGAUCGUAAAACUCUGUUAUUAGGGAAAAACAAAUGUGUAAGUAACUAUGCACGUCUUGACGGUACCUAAUCAGAAAGCCACGGCUAACUACGUG
rnacentral:rRNA from 1 species